CGUCUAUAGUGAUGAAAUUGUUUCUAUGUCUCUGCAGUUACAUCAACGAGAAGGAAAGACCAUAUAUGGGGAUCAAUCUAUUGGAAAGCUGGCAUGAAGAAGUUUAUAAUGAUUGAGAAUAAUACCCAGGAGCUUCUAUUAGGUGCAAGCCAUGAAACUCUGCAUGAUUCUCGUCUCUAAGAAUAAUGAGGAAGAUCUCAUGGUGUUGUCCCAUUUCUUCUUGUUGUGUUCAUGGUGUUGGGUUCGUGAGAUCGAGAGAAGAAGAUGUGUUGUGGAGAGAAAGCAAGAAGACGGUGCUUCAAAACUUCGAUUUGGAGAAUUUUAGAGCAAGAACAGAUUAAAUCAAAUGAACGGGCGAAGCAGAGGAAGUUUUCUGCAUAGAGCAUAAGGCUAGAGCAUUGCAACGCUCAUCCUACACUAUAAGGAAGAAAGCACGCUCACCCUACACUGUAAAGCAGAAGGCUCAGCGUCGCUAGGCUCCAGCCGUAGCGUUGCAACGUUGUGUGAAGCAUUAUGACACUACAAUAACCCAAAAAGCCAGUGUCACAAAGCUGGCAAAGAGCGUUGCAACGCUUUGGAAGUUUGUGUGCACGUCAAGGACUAUUCAUGAUCGUGGCUUCGAGGCUGUUGUGCAACAAUUGGAGCAUUUUUU